CAGCAGACUUCUAUUUUUAUUGCAGCAAUUUACCGAAGAAAUCAAACGGCUGCAGCUUUCCCUCCAACCCAAACGCUAACUAAAGCUCAACUAGGACUGCUGAAAGUGGAAACCCGUCGUUCACUCUGCCGAGAUGGUCUCAGAAUGGGAGGAAGAGCUGCACGCCUUCCUUGCUGUCAACCGUGUGGUGAUUCUUGCUGCUGACAACGACAAAAGCUGGGAAAGAACUGGAGUCCCGUCCUACCGUUCUCUUCUGCCUUCGGUGUUCGGACAAAAGGCCCAUGAUCGCCAACUGUUUGAGUAAGGAGAUGGACCGGAGGCCUUUCCCCAAAAUUCAGAACUUCAAAUGAAAAUGAUUUUGUUCCUGAAUAUUCACACCCACUCCAUACUGUGACAGAUUUCCAGCCUAAGCGUGUAGCGGCGUGAAACUGGGAAAGAGCCCCCAAAGUAUCUAUCUGACUUCACUUCUGUAUGGCACGAGAUCGUACGCACAGAUGAAGCAGCGUGGUCUAGUGGAAGCGCACGGUCCCGGGAGUCAGAUGGACCUGGGUUCUAGAUUUUUCUCCACCGCCUGCCCUUCGUAUGAUCUUCGCUUCUCUCGGCCUCAUCCGUCUCACCUGUUUGUUCAUCCCCUCGAUUCUAUUUAUUGCCACCGUUU